UCUGCCCAAGGGAGGUUGUUGCACACUAACUCUCAGCCGACUCUAACGGUCCUGUCACCCUCCAGAGAUGAGUUGAAUCAGGGUAAAGCUACAGUCAUGUGUGUGGCCAGUAAGGGAUUCCCCUCUGACUGGAAGUUGAGCUGGAAGGUGGAUGGUAACAGCAGGAGCUCUGGUGUGAAUCUGAGUCCAGGUGUCCUGCAGAAGGAUGGACUGUACAGCUGGAGCAGCAGUCUGAGUCUCACUAACAGUGAAUGGAGUUCAGCGAAAACCAUCAGCUGUGAGGCCACACAGAGCUCUCAGAAUCCAGUCUCCAAAAUCCUCAACACACAGGAGUGUGACAUACAAUGAGAGCAGACACACAAACCGAAAGUUUUAAAUUAGUUUGCAGAAGCCUUCUUGCUUUUUAAAUGUUUGUAGUGCAUAUGACAGCAGGCUUGAACUAUUUGCU